UGACCUUCCUGGUCCAGGGUAUAGGUU
rnacentral:sRNA from 1 species